GUCGAUACGGACCGGAACCCGAAAGGGGGUAUCGAUUUCGGAGGCGAAAGCCUCUCCUAGCCAGUGAGCGGGAUAAGCGAAAGCGAAAGGACAGGCCGAUAUUGAGAUUCAGCAAAAGCCCCAAGCGCGAAAGCCUUGGGGCUUUUUGUUUU
rnacentral:sRNA from 1 species